rnacentral:lncRNA from 1 species
UCUGGAAGCUCCCCUGAAACCUGUCCACCCUGACUCACCCUGUUGGUAUUUGAAAUACGAUGCCAUAGCUUUCAGCAUCACAGCAACGUGCAGCAGCCUCAGUAUGACAACCAACAGACUGGUGAUGUGGUUCCCUGACCAGAAAACAAACUUGGGCCACAGCGGUGAGAGGACUGAAUCUUAACCACUAGACCCAGGGCUGGCUAAAGAAUAAGCUUUACCUGGCAACCACAGAGGAGAACGUCUUGCAAAGGAGGUGAUCACAGCCAGAUGUGCUCAACACAAGCGUGUGGCGAAGCCAGACACCAUGUAAGAAGUUUGACUACUCUACUGGGGAAACUGUGGAGAGCGGCCCUGAGACUCCACACAGAGGGAGAGGGGCCAGCUGAGCCCAGCCUUGAGCUGUUCCUGACAAGACACCAGACAUGGGAGAGAAAAAGCCAUCUUGGAUCCAGCCACCCCCGGUGACACCACACAGAUCCGAGAACUGCCCAGUUGAGCCUUCUUAA